AAGUCGUAACAAGGUUUCCGUAGGUGAACCUGCGGAAGGAUCAUUAACAAUAAUAUCCUUAUUGGAUUCAUACCUUUGUGAUAUUUAUUGGCUUGAAUAUGGGGAUUAAAAAUGGCUUUGUUUCUUGCAAAAGAGAUGAAGACGGCCCCAAAUCAUCUAAAACUCGCUUUAAUUCUUGACUGACUAUAAUUUUAUAAUUAUCAAACGAUAAUCAAUUAAAACUUUCAACAACGGAUCUCUUGGUUCUC
rnacentral:misc_RNA from 1 species